AAGUGCUGAGAGGACAGGGAAGCUGUAGUUAAGACAAGGACUCAUUUCCUCAGCAACCACCAUCUAGAGAGCACCUCCUGUGUGUCCAGAACCAUGCUGAGGCUGGGACAAGGAAACAGGUGACCACACUCCAACUGUUGUUCACUUUCUGGCUCAGUGCUUAGUUGUGCUUGGCAACCAAUACUGCUAGAAGAAGAAGGAAGAAAGGAACCAAUUGAAUGGGAGGGAUUGAGGAUACAGGAGAACUCAUGCCAUCCUUGGCAGGAAGAUCACAAGAAGCAGGUGAAGAACCACAACACAGGUGGAGGUCCCUUUCAGCUGUCACCAUCACUGUGGCACAGCAAGAUGCACUCUGGAUGCCCAGUCAGGACUCAGAACCCAGUAGAGCUCCUCUGUGCUAUGUGACCUUGGCCAAGUCACAGCCUCUCUGCUCUUUCAGUUUCCGGGGGUUUUUCCCAUCGCUCUGUAAUGUUACCUCACUCCCAGAACAGAACCACUAAGGAGGGUGCAUACCAAUCCCCUGAGGAUCUUGUUAAAACGCAGAUUCUGAUUCAGUAAGUCAGAAUCUAACAAGCUCCCAAGCAGUGGUGAAGCUGUUCAUCCGCAGACCAUGCUCUGCUCAGCAAAUGCCCAGGACAUGUAACACUCCAAAUCCGUGCCCCUAACUGGGGUGCCAGGUGCUACAAAAGUGGCUAUGGAGGUUCAGGAGCUACUUCCAACAUUUAAAAAUGCCAGGUGGGUAUCACACCAUUCUCGACACCCAGGGAAGGUGUUCGAUCCAAACAAUCUAUUAAGCUGUUGUAUUGGUCCCAUCCUGCCCUCAGCUGCACAAAGCGGAGUUGCUGUGGCCGGUACCUGGUCUUGCCGGGUGGAGUGGCAGGGUCCACGGCUUUCAGCAGGUUGUUCUCCAGGAUAUGAAGGAACGGGCCUACGGCCAUCUGAAGGCUUUCCCUACGGCAAGUAAAUGACAUUGGAACAGCCAGCGGGCACUGGCACACAGGAAGGCGGGCUGGGUCUGCUCCCAGGACCUCAGGAGCCCAAUCAGACAGAGCUGAGAAGGAGACAAGUAAUGUGUGAGGGACAGCGACCAGCAGGGCGGGGAGAAAUGGCACCGCCUUCAGUUUGAGGGUUCUCUGUGCACAGACACUUCCAACAACAAAAGCACCAGGGUAUGGAACACAUCUGCGAUGGGACUGGAAACUGGGAUAAGUCAUGAAGAACUAGGCCUCCAGGAACAAAGCUGGGAAGGACAGGGUAGAGUGAUUUCCAGAAAUUCCAGAAGGCCCUCAGAAAAGCGAUCAGAAGAACAGCAUCCUGAGCUCUGCUUCCCAGGUGCCAGUCCCCCUUCUCUGGAGUUUGGACUGUGAGGACAUGUCUUAUCUAUUUGGUGUCACACAAAGCUCAUUGGCAGGGCUCGCUCGCAGCGCUGGCACUGACCCUCAGGUUUGCCACCUCAGGAUCACAAGGUGGUUACUGCAACUCCAAGCCUGUUAUCUCACGGUGCUAAAGAAAGCAGGGAGCUGUGCCAGUGAGCGGCCAAAAGGCUUGGUUUUGGUGCCUCUCACCUUUGAUCAAAGAGGGGGAAAACACCUCUUUCAGAAUUCCCAGAGCCCAAUCAUGGACAAAAGGGAGCAGGGUCGUCAUGACUGGCUUAGACCAAUCUUUCUUUCAUGGUGACUGGGUAAAUAAAUGCCCACCAUCAUAAGUCAAGGAAUGCUGAAGCAAUGGAUGAGGAGUAGGCAACCGAUACCGUACGCAACAUAUACUUUCCAGAAGAAUGUACGUAGGCCAAGCCAAGUUGGAUGGCACUGUGAGGCCAUCUAAUUUGUCCUUGAAGAAGCAUCAGUUUUAUGAAAGCAGGGCUAACCAAAACGGAAAGAAGAAUCAGAUCUUAUUUAAAAUGCUUUACACUGGGAGAAAAUAAACUAUGGCCAUUGUCCAAAUCCAACCCAUUUGCCCGUCUUGUAAAUAAAGUGUUAUUGGAACAGA